UGGGGAAUAUUGCACAAUGGGCGCAAGCCUGAUGCAGCCAUGCCGCGUGUAUGAAGAAGGCCUUCGGGUUGUAAAGUACUUUCAGCGAGGAGGAAGGCGUUGUGGUUAAUAACCGCAGCGAUUGACGUUACUCGCAGAAGAAGCACCGGCUAACUCCGUGCCAGCAGCCGCGGUAAUACGGAGGGUGCAAGCGUUAAUCGGAAUUACUGGGCGUAAAGCGCACGCAGGCGGUCUGUCAAGUCGGAUGUGAAAUCCCCGGGCUCAACCUGGGAACUGCAUCCGAAACUGGCAGGCUAGAGUCUUGUAGAGGGGGGUAGAAUUCCAGGUGUAGCGGUGAAAUGCGUAGAGAUCUGGAGGAGUACCGGUGGCGAAGGCGGCCCCCUGGACAAAGACUGACGCUCAGGUGCGAAAGCGUGGGGAGCAAACA
rnacentral:rRNA from 1 species